CAUUGCUAGCUUCCAUUUGCUGCCAUCAAACGCACGCUUUUUUCCACCAGUUUUCCGCUCUUAUCUUCCCCAUCCCCUCCUCCUCCGAGAAAAUCUCGUACUUCCUUCACAGCAACUCUCAUUUGCAGCCUCAGACCCACGAAGGAAUCCCCCGUGCGAGAGAAGAAAAGCCCUCUUCAUUUUGCGUCCAAUCCGCAGCAGAAUUCGACACCACCAUGGACGAUUUGCUCUGCAGCAUGCAGAAGAGGAAACCCACCAAGAGAUCCAAGCCCAAGAGCAAACCCAUCAAGGUCGUCUACAUCUCCAACCCCAUGAGGGUCAAGACAAGCGCCUCCCAGUUCCGGGCCCUGGUCCAGGAGCUCACCGGCCGCGACGCCGAGCUCCCCGACCCCGCCAAGUUCGACGGCUCCGAUCCCGACGGCGUCGGCGCGGUCGCGAAGGCCGAGGCGGCGGAGGAUGAUGAUGAUGAUGCCGUGGAGCCAGGGAGGAGGUCGAGUCUCCCGAAAGCGGGGUCCAUCCAGGAUCACCACCACCAUCAUCAGAAUCACCCGAGCGGUGGUGAUCUUAGUAGACUGGGUGCCGGCAGCUACGAGCCGUUGGAUGAUGAAUUAUUCACUCCUCAAAUGCUGGAGACACUCUCGGGCUUGCUUCCGCCAAGCCUGUCGUACGAGUCCUCUCGUAUGGAUCUGGCCUAAGGAGAAGAAGCCUGAGAAGUUAGACGCGGAGCGCGAAUAACUGUGAAGUUACAUCCGGGGAUAACACUAGAGGAAAAUCGUACGAGUUUUUUCUGAGCACAAGCAAUACUUUAGCUGGCAUUAGAGCGUUCUCCAUCUGAGCAUCAACACCCAAGUUGGAGCUUGGAGUUAGAGAUUUCUUUGCCUAUACAUGGCUAAAGCUUCUAGCUUCCUCAGUGCAGGUCUUCUCAUCAUUCGCGCAAGCUUACUGAUCUCGUCGGGCGCAUUGAACCGGAGGCGCCGCUUAUUAAUGAGCUGAAAAUCUGGUACGAGAGAGAGCCCUAGCCCAAACUGAUGCGUGCAUGUACUGAGCUAAGUUCCUGUACGUGCUCCCUCCAACUUGCAUAAACAUCUGCCUGACACUUUUUCGAAUUCAAUGCGUUUGUUUUUGUCCGGUUCACGGGUUCACUGUCUUUGGCCAUCUGCUUGUUUUUUUGUGAUCCAAUGGGCAAAAUAUUCAUUUGUCAUGUAAUGCCAAGUGAUGCUUUUAGCAUUCAUCUUCUCUGGAUGUAUCAGACGUGGUUAACAUAAGGUUAAAGUAGCUUGCAGCUGCAUGAAGGGUUUAAUUUAUGAAAUACUUAUGUAAAUAUAUAUUUAUAUAUAUUUAAUCCAACUACUCUUGUUGGAUUUAUUUAUUCAAUAGUUAUAGGCCCACGUAUCGGCAUGCCACGUGCGAUUUCUCUUA